rnacentral:rRNA from 1 species
AACGCGAAGAACCUUACCAAGUCUUGACAUCCUUUGACCACUCUAGAGAUAGAGCUUUCCCUUCGGGGACAAAGUGACAGGUGGUGCAUGGUUGUCGUCAGCUCGUGUCGUGAGAUGUUGGGUUAAGUCCCGCAACGAGCGCAACCCUUAUUACUAGUUGCCAGCAUUGAGUUGGGCACUCUAGUGAGACUGCCGGUGACAAACCGGAGGAAGGUGGGGAUGACGUCAAAUCAUCAUGCCCCUUAUGACUUGGGCUACACACGUGCUACAAUGGAUGGUGCAACGAGCAGCGAACUCGCGAGGGUAAGCGAAUCUCUUAAAGCCAUUCUCAGUUCGGAUUGUAGGCUGCAACUCGCCUACAUGAAGCCGGAAUCGCUAGUAAUCGCGGAUCAGCACGCCGCGGUGAAUACGUUCCCGGGUCUUGUACACACGC